CCUACGGGAGGCAGCAGUGGGGAAUAUUGCACAAUGGGGGGAACCCUGAUGCAGCGACGCCGCGUGAGUGAAGAAGUAUUUCGGUAUGUAAAGCUCUAUCAGCAGGGGAGAAAAUGACGGUACGUGAGUAAGAAGCCCCGGCUAACUACGUGCCAGCAGCGGCGGUAAUACGUAGGGUGCAAGCGUUAUCCGGAUUUACUGAGUGUAAAGGGAGCGUAGACGGCUGAGAAAGUCAGAAGUGAAAGUGUGCGGCUCAACCGCAGGACUGCGUUGGAAACUGGCCGGCUAGAGUGCUGGAGAGGUAAGCGGAAUUCGUAGUGUAGCGGUGAAAUGCUUAGAUAUCAGGAGGAACUCCGGUGGCGAAGGCGGCCUACUAAACGGUGACUGACGCUGAGGCUCGAAAGCGUGGGGAGCAAACAGGAUUAGAUACCCUAGUAGUC
rnacentral:rRNA from 1 species